UUUUUUAAAGAAAAAAAAGCUAAGAUGUUUGUCUAAAGAAAUUUCUAAUGUAAAUGGUGAUGAUUUAAAAAAUGAUAUCUAUUCAUAUGCAUGUACUUUUUCUCCCAUAAAUAUAUUUAAACCUAAAGAUGGAAAUUGCUUACGUGCAAACUGUAAAGUUCCGUGCUUUACACCGCAUUUCAAAAAGCAAUAAAGUUGACACUGUCUUCUCAAAGACCCAGUA